rnacentral:rRNA from 1 species
GACGGAGGGGUCGAGUGUUAUUCAUCGUAACUGGGCGUAAAAGCAUGUAGUCUGAAGGUUAAAUUUUUUUUUAAAAUACACAAAGUAAUUUUGUGGACUAAUUCUUAAAAUAACUUUCUUGGGUUUAGUAGAAGUAAUCUGCCCUUUAGGUGUAUUGGGGGUGAAUCUCUAGAAAUCUAAAGUACGACCGGUGGUGGAAACUGAUUACUAUAUAAACUGACGAUCAGAUGCUAAAGUGUAGGAUCAAAAAGG